rnacentral:rRNA from 1 species
UACGAAGGGGGCUAGCGUUGUUCGGAAUCACUGGGCGUAAAGCGCACGUAGGCGGAUCUUUAAGUCAGGGGUGAAAUCCCGAGGCUCAACCUCGGAACUGCCUUUGAUACUGGGGAUCUCGAGUCCGGGAGAGGUGAGUGGAACUGCGAGUGUAGAGGUGAAAUUCGUAGAUAUUCGCAAGAACACCAGUGGCGAAGGCGGCUCACUGGCCCGGAACUGACGCUGAGGUGCGAAAGCUAGGGUAGCAAACGGG